GCCCCUGGGGCCCGGCUGGACGGGCACCGGCGUUGUAUCCCGGCCGUUCUCGGUUCAAGUCCGAGCGGGGGCUCCA
rnacentral:tRNA from 1 species